rnacentral:rRNA from 1 species
UAGAUAUUUGUAGGAAUGCCGAUGGGGAAGCCAGUCCUCUGGACAGAUACUGACGCUAAAGCGCGAAAGCGUGGGUAGCAAACAGGAUUAGAUACCCUGGUAGUCCAUUCCGUAAACGAUGAUUACUAGGUGUUGGGGGUCGAACCUCAGCGUCCCAAGAUAUCGCGAUAAGUAAUCCGCUUGGGGAGUACGUACGCAAGUAUGAAACUCAAAGGAAUUGACGGGGACCCGCACAAGCGGUGGAGCAUGUGGUUUAAUUCGACGCAACGCGAGGAACCUUACCAGCGUUUGACAUCAUAAGAAAUUAGCAGAGAUGAUUUUGUGCCCCUUGGGGGGAAGUUAGUGACAGGUGGUGCAUGGCUGUGGUCAGCUCGUGUCGUGAGAUGUUGGGUUAAGUACCGCAACGAGCGCAACCCCUUUUGUAUGUUGCCAUCAUUAAGUUGGGCACUCAUGUGAUACUGCGUGCGAUGAGCAGGAGGAAGGUGGGGAUGAGGUCAAGUCAUCAUGUCCCUUUUACGUUGGGGUACACACGUGUUUCAAUGGGUAGUACAG